rnacentral:rRNA from 1 species
GUAGGUGGCAAGCGUUGUCCGGAAUUAUUGGGCGUAAAGCGCGCGCAGGCGGUCCUUUAAGUCUGAUGUGAAAGCCCACGGCUCAACCGUGGAGGGUCAUUGGAAACUGGGGGACUUGAGUACAGAAGAGGAAAGCGGAAUUCCAAGUGUAGCGGUGAAAUGCGUAGAGAUUUGGAGGAACACCAGUGGCGAAGGCGGCUUUCUGGUCUGUAACUGACGCUGAGGCGCGAAAGCGUGGGGAGCAAACGGGGAUUAGAUACCCUGGUAGUCCACGCCGUAAACGAUGAGUGCUAAGUGUUAGGGGGUUUCCCGCCCCCCUUAGUGCUGCAGCUAACGCAUUAAGCACUCCGCCUGGGGAGUACGGCCGCAAGGCUG